UACGUAGGGGGCUAGCGUUGUCCGGAAUCAUUGGGCGUAAAGCGCGCGUAGGUGGCCUCGUAAGUCCGCUGUGAAAGUCAAAGGCUCAACCUUUGAAAGCCGGUGGAUACUGUGAGGCUAGAGUACGGAAGAGGCGAGUGGAAUUCCUGGUGUAGCGGUGAAAUGCGCAGAUAUCAGGAGGAACACCGGUGGCGAAGGCGGGUCUCUGGGCCGAUACUGACGCUGAGGAGCGAAAGCGUGGGGAGCGAACAGG
rnacentral:rRNA from 1 species